rnacentral:rRNA from 1 species
CCUACGGGUGGCAGCAGUGGGGAAUAUUGGACAAUGGGGGGAACCCUGAUCCAGCGACGCCGCGUGAGUGAAGAGGUAUUUCGGUAUGUAAAGCUCUAUCAGCAGGGAAGAAAGGAAUGACGGUACCUGACUAAGAAGCCCCGGCUAACUACGUGCCAGCAGCCGCGGUAAUACGUAGGGGGCAAGCGUUAUCCGGAUUUACUGGGUGUAAGGGGAGCGUAGGCGGUUUAGCAAGUCAGAAGUGAAAGCCCGGGGCUCAACUCCGGGACUGCAUUUGAAACUGUUUAACUAGAGUGCAGGAGAGGUAAGUGGAAUUCCUAGUGUAGCGGUGAAAUGCGUAGAUAUUAGGAGGAACACCAAUGGCGAAGGCGGCUUACUGGACUGUAAAUGACGCUGAGGCUCGAAAGCGUGGGGAGCAAACAGGAUUAGAUACCCUUGUAGUC